rnacentral:lncRNA from 1 species
AUGGGCGGAGAGAUAUCACUCGAGUUGUCUGUUUCAUGUGUACAACAUCUAAAGACCUGCAUCACUAUACUGAGAGCUUUUCUGUUUUUAAAAGGAUGUACUGGGGCUCUGAACAAAUGUAUAUUUCAUUUUGUGCGACUCAAGCCGUCAAGCCCCUAUCCAGCUGUUCCAUUUUCUAUGUAGCCUGCUGCUAGAAUGGGCGGAGAGAUAUCACUCGAGUUGUCUGUUUCAUGUGUACAACAUCUAAAGACCUGCAUCACUAUACUGAGAGCUUUUCUGUUUUUAAAAGGAUGUAUUUGGGUUUUUCGGAGCCCCCGUACUGCACAUCGAGGAUAACGAAAAUGAAUCGCUCUUUGGGGUAAGUUUCUCAAAAACAAGUGAAAUCACCAAGUGUCUGGACAUGCCAUAUACAUUUUUUUUUAAUGAUUUGGUUGUAAAAAGCUAAAUUGUCUUUUAAGCUCUACACAUAUUCUUCUUGUGGUGUGUGUGUGUGUGUGUGUGUGUGUGUGUGUGGUGUGUGUGUGUGUGUGUGUGUGUGUGUGUGUGUGUGUGUGUGUGUGUGUGAACCUUCAACACUGGCUUGGGUGAGAAGUGUGUACAGUAUGUGUCACUUAUGGUUGAUUGUAUGACUGUUUAGAAGUGACCCAUUUGUAUAUAAUACAUAUAUGUGAAGCUUGGAUAGAUGGCCUUGUGUUGCGGAUGUGGUAGUGUUUGUAAGAUAAUUAACGAUAGCGAGUAUCUGUAUUUGGUGCAAACUACGCUAUAUUCUCACAUGCUUAAGUGUUCCAAUAAAGGACCAUGAAUGUACAUAAUUUGUGGUGUUGCUUCAUUUCACUUGAUUUUAAGGUGUAAGUGUGAAAAGUUAUUUUAUCAUCAAGGUUUGUGAUUAGCUAGCCUAUCUGCAAUUCAGUCACUGCAUUACUAACUUGCGGGAUUCCCAUUUAACCUCUAGAGCGUUUCGUUUCUAAAUGUCUGCGCAAGAGUGAAUGUUUCAUAGAGUUGUGAGAUAGUACUUUUGCACAUAUAACACACUGUGGCUGAGGAAUGGCACUACUCCCGAUAUAAGUGAACCCCAAACUAAUGUAGUUCUCAUCAUAUUUGCGCAUUUCUGAUGGUCAAACGUCCCUGUCUGUUGUUCGGGGCUUUCCCGGGUAAGGGGGCAGUAGCUCUUCGGCUGCAUUA